rnacentral:rRNA from 1 species
CCUACGGGCGGCAGCAGUGAGGAAUAUUGGUCAAUGGCCGGAAGGCUGAACCAGCCAUGCCGCGUGAAGGUCAGUGCCCUAUGGGCGUUAAACUUCUUUUGUGCGGGAGCAAUAAUGGUCACGUGUGCCCAGACGAGAGUACCGUACGAAUAAGCAUCGGCUAACUCCGUUCCACCAGCCGCGGUAAUACGGGGGAGGCAAGCGUUAUACGGCUCUAUUGGGUUUUAAGGGUGCGUAGGCUGUGCGGUAAGUUAGCGGGUAAAUGCCCCCGCUCAACGGGGUGAGGUGCCAUUGAUCCUGGCUGGCUGGAGUGCGGAUGCGGUGGGAGGAAUGUGUGGGGUAGCGGUGAAAUGCAUAGAUAUCACACAGAACACCGAUUGCGAAGGCAUCUCACGAAUCCGCGAUUGACGCUGAUGCACGAAAGCGUGGGUAUCAAACAGGAUUAGAUACCCCAGUAGUC